UGGGGGAUAUUGCACAAUGGGGGAAACCCUGAUGGUGCGACGCCGCGUGGGGGAAGAAGGUCUUCGGAUCGUAAACCCCUGUCAUGUGGGAGCAAGCAGCGAUGUAGAUAGUACCACAAGAGGAAGAGACGGCUAACUCUGUGCCAGCAGCCGCGGUAAUACGUAGGGGGCAAGCGUUAUCCGGAUUUAUUGGGUGUAAAGGGUGCGUAGACGGGAAUGCAAGUUGGUUGUGAAAUCCCUCGGCUUAACUGAGGAACUGCAACCAAAACUAUAUUUCUUGAGUACUGGAGAGGAAAGUGGAAUUCCUAGUGUAGCGGUGAAAUGCGUAGAUAUUAGGAGGAACACCAGUGGCGAAGGCGACUCUCUGGACAGUAGCUGACGUUGAGGCACGUAAGUGUGGGGAGCAAACA
rnacentral:rRNA from 1 species